GACGAACGCUGGCGGCGUGCUUAACACAUGCAAGUCGAACGGAAAGGCCCUGCUUUUGUGGGGUGCUCGAGUGGCGAACGGGUGAGUAACACGUGAGUAACCUGCCCUUGACUUUGGGAUAACUUCAGGAAACUGGGGCUAAUACCGGAUAGGAGCUCCUGCUGCAUGGUGGGUGGAAGUUCGGUCGGUUGGGAGUGGACUCGCGGCUUAUCAGCUUGUUGGUGGGGUAGGUGGCUUACCAAGGCUU
rnacentral:rRNA from 1 species